rnacentral:rRNA from 1 species
UACGAAGGGGGCUAGCGUUGUUCGGAAUUACUGGGCGUAAAGCGCGCGUAGGCGGACUGGCAAGUCGGGGGUGAAAUGCCGAGGCUCAACCUCGGAACUGCCUUCGAUACUGCCAGUCUUGAGGUCGGGAGAGGUGAGUGGAACUCCGAGUGUAGAGGUGAAAUUCGUAGAUAUUCGCAAGAACACCAGUGGCGAAGGCGGCUCACUGGCCCGGUACUGACGCUGAGGUGCGAAAGCGUGGGGAGCAAACAGG